CGCUGUGAAGAUGCAGUGUACCCGCGGCUAGACGGAAAGACCCCGUGAACCUUUACUAUAGCUUGACACUGAACAUUGAGCCUUGAUGUGUAGGAUAGGUGGGAGGCUUUGAAGCGUGGACGCCAGUCUGCGUGGAGCCAACCUUGAAAUACCACCCUUUAAUGUUUGAUGUUCUAACGUUGGCCCCUGACCGGGGUUGCGGACAGUGUCUGGUGGGUAGUUUGACUGGGGCGGUCUCCUCCUAAAGCGUAAC
rnacentral:rRNA from 1 species